UCCUUCAGCUAGUGCUCACACUGAGUUCUGAAAAACUUCAUGGUGAGAGUCUUACGCAUAAGCUUUUUUGGUCAGGCCCAUGACUGUGUUGUUCUGUUAUUUGCGUUUAAAGUACAAUGAAAACUCAUUUGUGAAUGACUGCUUUGCAACUUUGCAAGGGUACAUUGGCUCGUUUUCUCAUCUUUGGAACGAUUUCUCGUGGCUUUGGCUCUGUGAUUGUCUUCGGAGACUCCGGGUUCUUCAGUGUCUGCGAUUAUGGAAGCGUUGGUGAUGGCAUUACAGAAGAUGCAGGAGCAUUUCUUGAAGCUUGGCAUGCUACAUGCAGCGCGCAAUUCGAGAAUCCGACCAUGAUCAUUCUGGAUAAUUACACGUUUCUGGUACAUCAGCUUCCAUUCAGCGGGCCCUACAACGCCAAAAAUAUCACAUUUCUUGUAUACAUAGAUCAACUUCACUCUUUCACCUGAUUAUCAAAUUAUUCAAACUGACCAUUCCAGAGUGCAAUAAAAUCAUUAACUCGAUUCUCUUUCAUUUUUCCUACAUGUCAAUUUCAACACAUGUUUCAUUCAAUUCCAUAGGUAUUAGGGGAUAUAAAAACGCACCUACCUUGCCUAGAGAAUGGACAGAUCUCGACCCUAGCUCAUGGAUCACAUUCCGUGGCAUAGAUCAGCUUCAUGUCACUGGUUUCGGCACAAUUGAUGGACAGGGAUCAGAGUGGUGGAAGCAAUCCUGCAGAUAUAAUUCACAUUUGGUACAUGAAAAUUUCUAAGUAUAUUUUUCAUUCUGCUUGUUUUUUCUUGGCUCGGGUCAUGCAAUGGACUGCAAUUUUUCAGGAAGGAUACACUUCUCUGGCACCGAUAGGGAUGCGGCUUCUUUAACAUCGGCAAUUUGUUGAUUGAAGCUCCGGAGAUGAGCCCCAACACCGAUGGCAUUCACAUUCAAACUUUGCAGCAUGUGUCCAUUGCAAAUACAGUCAUUGGAACUGUUGGGCUUGUGAUCACCAGGUGAUGAUUGUAUAUCCACUGGAGACUACACUUCAAAUAUGUAUGUCUCAUCUGUCACAUGUGGACUGGCCAUGGUGUAAGGUGAAGUCCAAUUCUUCAUGCUAUCUCUGUCAAUGUGAUUGUAUGAUGGAAUCAAUCAUGAUAAAAGGGCAUCGGAUCAUGAACACAAACAUCUCUUUGGGCAAUCUUAAUCUGGAAAAUUAUCUACAUCGUGAUUCUCCAAGACUCAUGCAUAAGAUGGCUAUAGUUUGUUAUCAGGUAUUGCAGUAUUACAGAUGAUGCACCAAUCUUGAACCUAAAAAGGAAAUGAACUUUGCGUUUGUCCGAUAAAAUGAGGGUCGUUUCGUUCUUGCGAAAGUCAAGAAAUUCCUACCCCACUUCUCGUUUUUGUCAUUACUUUGUUUAUGCUUUCUACAGCAUUGGAAGUUUAGGCCGAGGAGGGAAUUUCGUUCAAGUCGAGAACAUUCACGUGAGCAAUGUACAUUUUAAGCAUACUACAAACGGUGCUCGGAUCAAAACAUGGCAGUGAAGGUUGGGAAGGGAUAUGUACGAAGGAUCACUUUCGACCAUCUUAAAUUCGACUCGGUUAGAAACCCGAUAAUCAUCGACCAAAACUACUGUUCUGCCCGGGGAGCAUGCCAAGAAAUGCAAACCGGAGUUCACUUAAGUGACGGGGCAUAUAUUGGCCUUUCCGGGAUUUCAAGCAUUGAUGUCGCUAUUAAUCUGAACUGCAGUCGGAGCGUCGCGUGCACCGGAAUAGUACUUUGAAUCGAUAGAGCUGACAUCUGCAAACAUGGAUAGGCAAGUCACGUCUAGUUGCCUCAACGCAUACGGGAACACCAUUGGAGUGGUUCGACCGGAUCCGUCUCCAAAGUUUGACAGAAGCCCAUUAAUCUCUUUGUUCUACCGAGAGAACGGCAUCUAACUCUGUCGACUUCUCAAAGUUUCUUUGGCUGUUGCAGAGAGCUCCCAUGUAUCCUCAGCAGUUGUACAGUGAAAGCUGUCUGGGUUGUGUCUAUAUGUACCCAUUUCUCGCUGAAAGUGCUUCUCUUCACUGGCAUUCUCUUUCUGCACAUAAAUGUUUCUGCAUUAUUUUGUGAUUGUAUGUUCAGAAUCAAGAUAGCUGAGCUUAGGAAUCAAUAUCAUACAAGAGCCCAGACACCAGUUGAUAGUGAUGGACUUAGCUAAGCACCUGGGCGCACGCCACGUGUGCUCAGAAAACCCGACGGGAGGAUGGUCCCGACGGCAAUGGAGAAGGGAGAAUGACCCUCGGAACAACGGGCUUCAGCCGGUUUUACACCACAGGUGGUUUGAUGGAUAAGACCUCCACUAAAACCUAAUCCUGUUGGAGGAGGAAAAGCGUUGCACUACCUAGAAAUCAAGCAUCCAUUGGCCCUUUAAGGACGGUUUAACGGCCACGCAAGACAUGCGACACCACCAUUUGAGGAUGUCUAGAUUUAUGAUUCACUCCAUAAGAUCUCUCCCAACCGACCCCCAC